rnacentral:rRNA from 1 species
GACAGAGGUUGCAAACGUUGUUCGGAAUUACUGGGCGUAAAGGGCGCGUAGGCGGCCCGCUAAGUCGAACGUGAAAUCCCCGAGCUCAACUCGGGAACUGCGUCCGAUACUGGUGGGCUUGAAUCCGGGAGAGGGAUGCGGAAUUCCAGGUGUAGCGGUGAAAUGCGUAGAUAUCUGGAGGAACACCGGUGGCGAAGGCGGCAUCCUGGACCGGCAUUGACGCUGAGGCGCGAAAGCUAGGGGAGCAAACGGG